rnacentral:rRNA from 1 species
UGGGGAAUUUUGGACAAUGGGGGAAACCCUGAUCCAGCCAUCCCGCGUGUGCGAUGAAGGCCUUCGGGUUGUAAAGCACUUUUGGCAGGAAAGAAACGUCAUGGGUUAAUACCCCGUGAAACUGACGGUACCUGCAGAAUAAGCACCGGCUAACUACGUGCCAGCAGCCGCGGUAAUACGUAGGGUGCAAGCGUUAAUCGGAAUUACUGGGCGUAAAGCGUGCGCAGGCGGUUCGGAAAGAAAGAUGUGAAAUCCCAGAGCUCAACUUUGGAACUGCAUUUUUAACUACCGGGCUAGAGUGUGUCAGCGGGAGGUGGAAUUCCGCGUGUAGCAGUGAAAUGCGUAGAUAUGCGGAGGAACACCGAUGGCGAAGGCAGCCUCCUGGGAUAACACUGACGCUCAUGCACGAAAGCGUGGGGAGCAAACAGG